ACUGCCUCCAUUCCUUCCAUGGAUUUCCUCCAUUUUUUUCUCUGAAAAAAAGAAAAGAAACAGACUAACAACACACCACAUCUAUUCUCCCUUUCUUCUAUAUUUUUCCCUUUUUUUAAAGAUUAUUCGAAAAAAAUGAUGCUCAAAACCCACCUUUUAUUCUCUCUCUUUUUUUGCCCUUUUUGUCUCCUUACUCUAAGAUAGGAGAACCUCGAAAAUUUGGGUGCAAGUUUAAGGUUUGCAUUUUAUUAUCUGGUAUCUUCAAUCUCUACAGAACCCGCCAGGUAAAAAAAAAAACACAAGAAAGGCCACUGAAGGAGGAAUUACAGGUGCAAGUUUAAGGUUUGCUUUUUAUUACCUGGUAUCUUCAAUCUCUACAGAACCCGCCAGAUAAGAGAUCUCACAUGAUGUUUAUUUUUCUCAUGGCUUUUUAGACUAUGAUUAUUUUUUCUUAUGGAAUUUUUUUGUGAUUAUCUCAGGUAAAAAAAACACAAGGAAGGCCACUGAAGGAGGAAUUACAGUUCUCUUUGUAAACUCUUUACCCUUUCUUCCAUAUUUUUCUUGCACGAUGAGGUGGAAUAGUUACAAGCUAUCAGAAUGUAUCUCUUCAAGAGGUGGAAACAUUCUCAAUUAUGAUAUUUUUGUAUCUGAGCACAAGAAUGUAUAGAAGGAAGAAAGAUGAUAGCACCUACCUUUCAUUUUUUUCUGUUCUAUAGAGAAUUCAACUCGGACAUAUAAUUGCUUGUACACUUGCUGUUCGGCUUGUAGUUUUGCUUGUUUCCUUUUUCUAGAGAUGUUAGUCUUGUUUUUGUUUUUUCAGUUUUUGGUUAUUUGUCAACCUUAUUGAUGGGUUGCAAGAUUUACUUUUCUUUUUUUUUAUCAGCUCAGUAGUGGCAAGGAGAGUAAACUAAUUUGUUUUCAGGUAAUUUGUAGUUUGCCUUU